GGUGAGGUGGCUGAGUGGUUAAGGCAAUGGACUGUAAAUCCACUGUGCUUUGCACGCAUGGGUUCGUAUCCUAUCCUCAUAA